CCAGAAGUCAGAUGUCAGAAGUUAUAAAGUAUUGGUCAAGGGAUUUUGAUGAUCCAUACACAACAAAGCUCUUGUAUGUUUCUCUUGUUCGUCCGUCCAUGGAUUAAAGCUCGUGUAGAUGGUUUAAACUGGGAUAUAGGAAGACGAUUGCCCUCGUAUCAUGUGAGGUUGCGCCUGCUGGACUUACGAACCCUGGACCACCGUAGAAAGUGUCAUGGAGUUUUUUUCUUGCAUAAAUUCUUCUAAGUUCCCGCAACUGGAAUAUAUCCAGUAGAACAGUUCGUCGCCUCUGACAAUUUUUGGAACCCAUUAUGCCCUUCAUGAUCCUUUUCGUGUUCUUUGUGAUGAUUAUAGUGCACUGUGUCACGACUUAAUAUUUGAUAGCCCUAAUAAAACCAAUUACGACAAACUAA